CAGCUCUCCAGGGGACAUCUGGAUAAAAAAUGCUGCAGCAAAACAGGCAGAGGAGGAGAAAUCCUGUGAUUCCAAGCCUCUCCCAUCUCCAGGCAGUCCUCCCAACUCCCAAGUAUGGUUGUUUGGUUGAUUUUAGAGAACAGGUCAAUCAGAUCCUCCAGGCUCCAGGGAGGAGCCAUCGGGUGUGACCAUGAGAGCAGGGGGUGGGCUGGGGUGACACCCGGGUCCCCAGAUGUGUGAGCACAGCCCUGGGGAUGGGGACAGGGAGCAAGGGGCAAUUUGGGCAGCUUCCCGUGGGCUCUAAUCUGCUUUUAGCAUCCAUGUCUCCACAGGGCUGAUGGAGGGAAUUGCAGUUUCCAGCCAUGGACAGAAACAGGAAAGCACCUUGGACAGCGUUUGUGGGUGUUGCUUAGAAAAAAACUGCUGUAUUUCUGGUUUCACACAGACCAUUCCGAAGGAAAGAAAAUCUUUCAAGAAGAGGAAGAUGCUGAAAGCUGCUGGGUCCUGCUUCCCAUGUGCACAUCCAGUGGUGUCCUGGCUCAGAGAUCUGCAGGAGACAAACCCAGGGAGACAGAAAGGCUGAGCUCCACGUGCACUACAGAAUUAUUUGCUCACGUCACUGAAGAACGUCUCCACAGCAAGGAGUUGUGCUGGCUCACAUUUCCUCUGCAGACUGUUUCAGAUGGAAAACAAGGAAGAUGAUCUAAAUUGGAGGUAAUAGGCUGGAAUGUGGGAUGCAGGAAGAUUACAGAUGCACCUUGAACCUGCAGGACUAAUGACUUUGUUCGUGCAUCUGCAAAAUGCUCACCUGACUUCUGCCUGGGAGAGCUGCUCCAGCCCUGUGCAAUGAAAUCACAGGCACUGCUCUGCUGUGACUCCAACCACACACACACUGCAGGACGAGGCCCAGCUUCAGGUGUCUUGCAAAUACAGAUGAGGUAAGAAAAGCCAUAAAAGCUUCAGAGGCCUCUUAAUUUUUCCCCUUUGAAUCAUCUGUCAUAAAAUCUCGUAGGAGAUGGGCUGUGCUCACUCAGAGGUAAAGCUAAUGUGCUCUUUGAUGCUGUUGUUUGCGAAAUCUCUGACUUAUUAGCAAUAAAUCCAGGGGCUGUGGUCGGCCUGGCAGAGCUGAGCUUUCUGCCAGCCUGUGCAUUGGAGGUGGUGCUUGAGAAAUGCUGCCCUUGGCUCUGGGAAAUGCAGGAAGCACUACAAGUGGUCGGGUCUGUGCUGGAGGAGAGGACUAACCAAAAUACCCUGGAUUUUGGGAGCCAGUCUAUCAAAACAAAGCAGGGACGCGCUGCUGCCGUGCAGCUCCUGCCAAGGAUGAGCUGAAACCAA